rnacentral:rRNA from 1 species
AACGAACGCUGGCGGCAUGCCUAACACAUGCAAGUCGAACGAGACCUUCGGGUCUAGUGGCGCACGGGUGCGUAACGCGUGGGAACCUGCCCUUAGGUUCGGAAUAACUCCCCGAAAGGGGUGCUAAUACCGGAUAAUGUCUUCGGACCAAAGAUUUAUCGCCUUUGGAUGGGCCCGCGUUGGAUUAGCUAGUUGGUAGGGUAAAAGCCUACCAAGGCGACGAUCCAUAGCUGGUCUGAGAGGAGGAUCAGCCACACUGGGACUGAGACGCGGCCCAGACUCCGACGGGAGGAAGCAGAGGGGAAUAUUGGACAAUGGGCGAAAGCCUGAUCAAGCAAUGCCGCGUGAGUGAUGAAGGCCUUAGGGUUGUAAAGCUCUUUUACCCGGGAUGAUAAUGACAGUACCGGGAGAAUAAGCACCGGCUAACUCCGUG